UACGUAGGGGGCAAGCGUUGUCCGGAAUUAUUGGGCGUAAAGAGCGUGUAGGCGGUCCGGUAAGUCAGCUGUGAAAGUCAAGGGCUCAACCCUUGAAUGCCGGUUGAUACUGUCGGGCUAGAGUCCGGAAGAGGCGAGUGGAAUUCCCGGUGUAGCGGUGAAAUGCGGCAGAUAUCGGGAGGAACACCAAUGGCGAAGGCAGCUCGCUGGGACGGUACUGACGCUGAGACGCGAAAGCGUGGGGAGCAAACAGG
rnacentral:rRNA from 1 species